rnacentral:rRNA from 1 species
CACGUAGGGGGCGAGCGUUGUCCGGAUUUAUUGGGCGUAAAGAGCUCGUAGGCGGCUCAGUAAGUCAGGUGUGAAAACUCCAGGCUCAACCUGGAGACGCCACCUGAUACUGCUGUGGCUAGAGUCCGGUAGGGGAGCAUGGAAUUCCUGGUGUAGCGGUGAAAUGCGCAGAUAUCAGGAGGAACACCGGUGGCGAAGGCGGGUCUCUGGGCCGAUACUGACGCUGAGGAGCGAAAGCGUGGGGAGCGAACAGG